rnacentral:rRNA from 1 species
AACGAACGCUGGCGGCAGGCCUAACACAUGCAAGUCGAGCGCCCCGCAAGGGGAGCGGCAGACGGGUGAGUAACGCGUGGGAACGUACCCUUUGCUACGGAAUAGCUCCGGGAAACUGGAAUUAAUACCGUAUGUGCCCUACGGGGGAAAGAUUUAUCGGCAAAGGAUCGGCCCGCGUUGGAUUAGCUAGUUGGUGGGGUAAUGGCCUACCAAGGCGACGAUCCAUAGCUGGUCUGAGAGGAUGAUCAGCCACAUUGGGACUGAGACAUGGCCCAAACUCCUACGGGAGGCAGCAGUGGGGAAUAUUGGACAAUGGGCGCAAGCCUGAUCCAGCCAUGCCGCGUGAGUGAUGAAGGCCUUAGGGUUGUAAAGCUCUUUCACCGGAGAAGAUAAUGACGGUAUCCGGAGAAGAAGCACCGGCUAACUUCGUGCCAGCCGCCGCGGUAACAC